GAUGAAGAAUCUUUGCUCCAACAUAUACGUGAUGAUGUCUAGCUACGCGAAGAAUAAACCGUCGGAAGGAAGCACUUCACAGCAAUCACCACCUGAGCCGGAGGCGGCGACGGCGACGACGACGACGAACACCACCACCACCACCAUGACACCGCUAGAUCUGUUACCUCUAAAGCGGUUAGCCGAUGAGUGUUUAGGUCGCGCCGGCGACGAUGGUGAUUACCUAGAAACAACGGAACCCGAUGAGAUGAGCCCGAGAUUAUUCGGUGUGACAAUAGGUGUGAAACGGUCG
rnacentral:lncRNA from 1 species